GGAUGGGAGGGCGAUCUGGCUUCGCCAUCCGUCACCCCACUGAUGGCCAGGGUUGAUUCGGCUGAUCUGGCUGGCUAGGCGGGCGUCCCCUUCCUCCCUCACUGCCCCAGGUGAGUCCCCCCUGAAGCUGUGUGCUCUGUGGAAAGCAUGACCUUCCCCGGGAGAGGAGGACCGUUCUUCAGUUGAGGAUGUCCCAGUAGCUGUGCUCCCCACUGCUAGAACUUCCAGACAGAGCUCUCACUGAGCAUCGUGUGUUCAAGGCUCACCCGCAUCAGAACUGUGUCAGAUGUGACUCCUUUUAUGACCGGAUAGUAUUCCAUGACGUGGAUGGACCUCAUAUUUAUGU
ensembl:misc_RNA 7SK 7SK RNA